GACGAACGCUGGCGGCGUGCUUAACACAUGCAAGUCGAACGGGAUUUAGUAAACAGAAGCCUCGGUGGAAGAUUACUAAUGAGAGUGGCGAACGGGUGAGUAACGCGUGAGCAACCUGCCUAUGACAGUGGGAUAGCCUCGGGAAACCGGGAUUAAUACCGCAUAAAAUCGUAGAAACACAUGUUUUAACGGUCAAAGAUUUAUCGGUCAUAGAUGGGCUCGCGUCUGAUUAGCUAGUUGGUGAGAUAACAGCCCACCAAGGCGACGAUCAGUAGCCGGUCUGAGAGGAUGAACGGCCACAUUGGAACUGAGACACGGUCCAAACUCCUACGGGAGGCAGCAGUGGGGAAUAUUGCACAAUGGGGGAAACCCUGAUGCAGCGACGCCGCGUGAACGAAGAAGGUAUUCGUAUCGUAAAGUUCUGUCCUAUGGGAAGAUAAUGACAGUACCAUAGAAGAAAGCUCCGGCUAAAUACGUG
rnacentral:rRNA from 1 species